GGUUCUCUCUCUCUCUCUCUCUCGGUUUGUCUGCUCUUUUCUUCCUCUGUGCAGGUGUUCCAGACAUUGGCUGAAGGCCGGAGGAUGGAGGGAACGUUUGGGGACGAUCCGCCGAGGUUGUGGACGUGAGAUCCCUCGCCGGCUACAUCGGUAAUUUUGUUUAUUUUUAUUUAUUUUAUUCAUUUAUUCUCACUGGAAAUGGAAAUUUGGGCGCUCAGUAGAUGUUUACUCUCAGACAUCUCCACACUCACCAAGUAAUGGAAAUUGGGCGAGUAGGGUUGUUCAAUGAAACAUUUUGGAAACACGAAUGGGAUAAGCACGAUUGCAAUAGGAAAGACACCUUCCCUCCACUGCAACAAGGAUAAAUCUGGCCAUAACCAAUUAUUCGAAAUUAUUUUAUGUUUUGA